rnacentral:rRNA from 1 species
UCCAGACUCCUACGGGAGGCAGCAGUGGGGGAUAUUGCACAAUGGGGGGAACCCUGAUGCAGCGACGCCGCGUGGGUGAAGGAGUAUUUCGGUAUGUAAAGCCCUGUCAGCAGGGAAGAAAAUGACGGUACCUGAAGAAGAAGCCCCGGCUAACUACGUGCCAGCAGCCGCGGUAAUACGUAGGGGGCAAGCGUUAUCCGGAUUUACUGGGUGUAAAGGGGGCGCAGGCGGCGAUGCAAGCCAGGAGUGAAAGCCCGGGGCCCAACCCCGGGACUGCUCUUGGAACUGCGUGGCUGGAGUGCAGGAGGGGCAGGCGGAAUUCCUGGUGUAGCGGUGAAAUGCGUAGAUAUCAGGAGGAACACCGGCGGCGAAGGCGGCCUGCUGGACCGCGACUGACGUUGAGGCUCGAAAGCGUGGGGAGCGAACAGGAUUAGAUACCCCGGUAA